rnacentral:rRNA from 1 species
GUUUAUCAAAAACAUGUCUUUUAGAAUUUAAUUUAAAGUCUAACCUGCCCAUUGAAUAAUUUAAAAGGCUGCAGUAUUUUAACUGUACAAAGGUAGCAUAAUCAUUAGUCUUUUAAUUGAAGGCUGGAAUGAAUGGUUGAAUGAAAUAUCUUCUGUUUCAUAAAAAUUUGUAAUAGAAUUUUAUAUUUUAGUGAAAAAGCUAAAAUUUUAUUAAAAGACGAGAAGACCCUAUAAAUCUUUAUAUUUUAUUGGGGUGAUAUUAUAAUUUAAUAAACUUAUAAUUAAAAAUUAACAUAAAUUAAUGAAUUAUUGAUCCAUUUAUUAUGAUUAUAAAAUUAAGUUACUUUAGGGAUAACAGCGUAAUUUUUUUAGAGAGUUCUUAUUAAUAAAAAAGUUUGCGACCUCGAUGU